rnacentral:lncRNA from 1 species
ACCCUUGUCUUUCUUGAUUUACAAAUCGAAUUUUAAUUUUGUUGUCCCUGUGUUUGUGUUGGGUUUGGGGGCUGAUUUGUUCAAGGCCUUAGGUGCCGAGGCCAAACUUUGGUCAAUAUCUGACCAUUAGCUAAACAAUAAAUUACUUAUAUAUAACUUAGGCAUGGUCAAAUAAACUAUGUAGAUGAAAAUUUUGUUGUAUAGUGUAACUUUAAUUUGAAAUCAAGCUUGGUCAAAUCGUGGCCUAUUGGCCUUGAACCAAUCAGCCCCUUAGUAUCUGAUUGGUGAGGCUACCAUGGUCGUUUUGCGAUAGCCUGCGGGGAUGGGUUUUAGAGGUUUACCACGUUUGUUUGACCAUUAAAAAAAUGCAGGAUUGCGUUGAUUGUCUGGUUUUGCCGAAUCAGGUGUACGGUCACUGUGUUUCACCAUUGAUGACAAUCUAGAAAAUCCAGUAGAAAAAAUACAUGAGUACUCGUUGGUCCCAACUUCCAACUAAGCAUUCUCUCAUGAAGUAGCAGCCUGCCAUUUUGUUUAAUAAUAAAUCAUUUGCAACAGAACCAAUUGCAGAUUAAUUUUUCUGUUUGUGCUGAAAGGGAAGAAAAUGGACUGAAUAGAAAAAUAAUAAAUAUAUGCUAUUACAGAAUACAGUUUUACAGCACAUCAUUCGGAAUUUUGCUUUUAGGUUGGAUAGCUCAUCUUUGGAGCACCUUUUCAGCCAUUGUUAUUAAGGCAUCACUUAAGCGGUGCUUAAGCGCCAGAGCGGUCGAAGGUCACCUCAGGGGUUAGGUGAUGCCUCGUCGCCUUAUUCGCAUGCCUAUGCCCCCUAGAUUCCGCUGUCUCCUCAUCGAUUCUGCUGGUGGCCUGCUUGAUUUUUCUUCUGCUGGCUAGAUCUCUUCCAUCUCCCACUCAUGAAUUGCUUGAUCUGGAAGGGGACGGCUUCGUCUGUCAAUUUGAGAGCACUGACCAGAGAGGAAGGGGAAGCAGAGGGGCGGAGGGAAGAGCAGACCAGCACAUCCGGAGAGGGAAGCAGAGCAGCGCACCUGGAGAGGAGCGGAGGGAAGCAGAGCAGGCACUUGGGUGGAGGCGGAAUAGCAGUGGAGAACGCGUGAGAGAAGAAGCGGCGACACUGAAGGGGGUCGGGAUUUGGAGUUUAACAAAGCCACACCAGGUGGGGGAGGAGGCGAGGAGCACAUGAGCUGCCUGGUGGGCUGGGCCAGCCCACUUCUUACCAGGCCCCUUUCUUUUUCUUUUUUCCUUUUCUUUUUUGUUCACCUACUGCUCUAUGCUGCUGUUUUUAGUUUUUUAUUAAUUUAGGUGUUGAUUCGCCUCACGCUUUAGUCACUUAAGCGCAAGGCGGUAGUUAGUCGCCACACCUUGACUUGCUGCCUCUAUAACCAUGUUUUCAGCUUUCCUUUAUUGCUGGUGAAAAAGAUUAUAUGUUCAGUUCCUAACCACAGGCAAAUCAUCUAUAUGGUUGAAGCGGA